UACCAGCACCCCGAGUGGUCGGGACGUUUUAUUGGGGCCUAAAGCAUCCGUAGCCGGUUCUACAAGUCUUCCGUUAAAUCCAACUGCUUAACAGGUGGGCUGCGGAAGAUACUAUAGAGCUAGGAGGCGGGAGAGGCAAGCGGUACUCGAUGGGUAGGGGUAAAAUCCGUUGAUCCAUUGAAGACCACCAGUGGCGAAGGCGGCUUGCCAGAACGCGCUGCGACGGUGGAGGGACUGAAAGCUGGGGGAGCAAACCGGG
rnacentral:rRNA from 1 species